AAGCUUAAGCAAACAAUAUGUAGCCCAACCUAAUUGGAUUUCUAACUGGUUGAGGUUCACGAGGUGUUCGAUAAUUUGCCCGAGAAAGAACUCCCGCCAAUUUUAUUAAGGCUCCGUUGGAUUCCACCGAACCCACGUUUCAGUGCGAUUUCAAUCUAUUUUUGUGCAAUCGCAGCAGGUGAAUCUUUUUGGAUAGCAAUAUUACGGUGCGGUGGAAAGACUCUCAUCACGCCCGGAGAGGCAGGGAUUCAAGUUCGUUUUAAUAGUGUUGGUGGUAAUUUAAUGGCAGGGAUUCAAGUUGGUUACUUUACCAGAGCUUCAACUCUCUUCUGAUUUUGAUUAGGAGGCUUCACUAAGAGUAACCGGAAAGCAAUAUUGCAAGCACAUACUGGUAGGAAUGUUGAUGGUAUUGCUAGUAAGACAGUUCCAAGCUGAGUGCAUGUACAAUGCAACUACUUAAUGAAGUUUUGGAUUUGAACACACUUGCUUGGGGAUUUCAAGAUCUCCAUGUCAGAAAUGAAAAAGGGCUUCUUCUAUUUUCUUCCCCAAUCAUCCAUUGCGUUACAUAAGGAGAAGUUUCUGUGAAGAAGGAGCCACAACAACCCAACUUAACUUUUCUAAGUAAUCUGUUGAUACAAGGCUGGAGUUUUGUGGUGGUUUAUGGGUUAUCUGACGGGCGGAGAGCAGUAGGUAAUGAUAGUGGCCAGAGUUUGACUUCCUUGAGGGGCUGGAGCAUGAGAUAGUUGAAGAGUGUGACUGUUUGAGUCUAGAGCGAGAAAAGAGAGAGUUGCCCUGUUUUGGUGUCCGUGGAUUUUAAAAGGAACUCUUCUGAUCAUUUUCAAAGUCUCGUGUCAUUUUGGUAUUGAUUUUCUAUUGUUUGGAGUCCAAUCGACCUACAUAUAUCCCAUCACACGUGAUUGAGAAUACAUGGAAGCUCCAAACGAUCAAUUGGAACUAUCAGUGACUAUGCUUACGAGGUUAUGGGUUGCAAGGUUUUGACUAUGCUACGUUUAAGUUGGUAAAGAGUAUCUUUGGAUGAGUA